GAGUCGGAGUGUGAUGAUACAACUUGAUCACAAUACGAUAGUGAUGCUCUGAACAACGAUACAAUGCAAUAUGGUGUCUCUUAAUUUAUAACGAUAUGAUACGAUUAACAACAAUCCAUCACAAUACGAUAGUGUGAUUAGCUGUGAUGUGAAAGUGACCAUUAGAUUUGACAGAUUACCCCAACCGCACCCCACCGACACUGAAGAGAUCAUUGAAAUAACAAACAUAACUUUCAAUGCUAACAAGAGUGUUUAUUAAUUUCAGUGCUUCAAUCUACCUAAAUAAAAGUUUGCCAUGUAAAUUAACGAUUCAUUGUGAUAUGAAUAGAUUAAUACAUGUCACAAGGACGCAGUUGUAUCGUGACAUUUGCACCAUGAUGCAUUGAUGCAUAAAUGUUUCAUUACACCCUUAGUUUGGAGUGUGGCCAAAAACUGAGUUUGCAUCUUUGUUUUGUUUUAAUACUAAUUAUUGGUGUUGUGUGUAAGACUCCACAGGCACACAGAUGCUGGGGAAAUAUAAGCCUCAUAACUCAGUCUCAUUGACUGCUUUUGGAGUUUGUCCCUCAGGGGCCACUUCUGUUAGCCCUACAGAGCAUGUGCUAAAAUGUUCUGUUUCAAUGGUGAAUUAAGUGAAUGCACACAAAAAAGAAACAUCCGUCACAUUCAGCUGAAUAGAAGAGGCAAGAGAAUUGUACCGCCUCCCCCCCUUGCUUUGGCCCCACUCCCAUCCCCCCUCCUUCACUCACUCCUUCAAUUCAGUUAAACGGUUUUUACACCUCGAGCAUCCAUUAUCUUACAUUCUCCUAUUUUAAUAGAGCUUAAAUCUCUGUUGCUUUCCACAACUUUCUUUUAAAGCAGGUUGACUAAUACACAAUGUCAGACACAGUUUUUUUAUAGAAAGUGUGAAUAUGGUGUUUUCUAUAGCAGCCUCCUGUCAUGUAGACUCAGCGUUGAUCAUGAAGUCUAAUGAAGUGAGUGAAAGUAAUGACUGUAUCCAAGGGUUAUACUGCAGCUACGGCUCUGUGCUGAAGUAUGCCUUGAACUCGGAGAGCGGCAUUACUUCCACUUUGCACCACAAAUCAAGCAACGAUGUGGAGAUAAUUCUGCACUGUGUGCAUUGUAUUUUACUAAAAGUUGUUAAGACUGUAAGAUUUUGUUUCUCAUAUGACAUCUGUUUGACAUCUUGGAACAGUCAGUCGUGCAACUGCACAAGUUUUCCAGUAACCGACCGCUUGUUUCAGUAAAAGAGCAUUGUCAUUAAAAUGUCAUUAGAAGUCUGGUAAAAUGAAGAUAAAAGAGAAUCACUCUUUCACAAGUGGUGCUUUGUCACUCAAAGAGUAGAUGAAAAGGGUUUUUCUUUUCUUUUUUCAAAUUAUUAGGACCUGCAGUCUGGGCAGAGGGAACAAGCAAUAUUAGACCACUCCCCAAAUCGCCAUAGCAACUUGGCACUACUACUGCCAAUGCUGACAGACAUGGCCCAUGUGCAGAGAGAUGGAGGGCCGACUGAACCAUGACCUCCCCCAAUACCUUUUCCACGUUCAGGGCCGCUCUUAAAGCACCAGCUUUCCACAGCGCAUUUCUGCUUCACUAAGAGAUGACUGGCAGCUGUCCACCAUGCUCUCUGUAAAAGUUACAGGUCGCUGCAGUUUGCUGUCCACUCAAGCGAGAGAAUACCCGUGAAAGCCUUUCCUGGCAUGACUGGUUAUUACAGAUAUACUUUAUAAAACUAGCAUAUUUAUGAUAGCACAGCGGUAAAAUACUGCUGUUUAUGAGAGCUGCUGCCAGUGUUUCAUAAUAAUCAUAUUUUGAGGGAUCUGCUGCUUCUGCUGUUUCAGAAGUACUAAGUACCCAAUUUCACACACAACUUGUUGCUAAAGAGAUUGUAAAUGGCUAUAAAAUGAAUGAGGUAAUUUUAAGUUGUGGCCUUGUGAUGUACAGUAUGUGCAGCAUGUUUUUAUGUUUUCGCUGAGAGUAAAAUGUUACCAACUAAUGUCA